UGGGGAAUAUUGCACAAUGGGCGCAAGCCUGAUGCAGCCAUGCCGCGUGUAUGAAGAAGGCCUUCGGGUUGUAAAGUACUUUCAGUCGGGAGGAAGGUGGUAAGGUUAAUAACCUUGGCAAUUGACGUUACCGACAGAAGAAGCACCGGCUAACUCCGUGCCAGCAGCCGCGGCAAUACGGAGGGUGCAAGCGUUAAUCGGAAUUACUGGGCGUAAAGCGCACGCAGGCGGUUGAUUGAGUCAGAUGUGAAAUCCCCGGGCUUAACCCGGGAAUUGCAUCUGAUACUGGUCAGCUAGAGUCUUGUAGAGGGGGGUAGAAUUCCAUGUGUAGCGGUGAAAUGCGUAGAGAUGUGGAGGAAUACCGGUGGCGAAGGCGGCCCCCUGGACAAAGACUGACGCUCAGGUGCGAAAGCGUGGGGAGCAAACAGG
rnacentral:rRNA from 1 species